rnacentral:rRNA from 1 species
CCUACGGGGGGCAGCAGUGGGGGAUAUUGCACAAUGGGGGAAACCCUGAUGCAGCGACGCCGCGUGUGGGAAGACGGUCCUCUGGAGUGUAAACCACUGUCCCCAGGGACGAAGAUGACGGGACCUGGGGAGGAAGCGCCGGCUAACUACGUGCCAGCAGCCGCGGUAAUACGUCGGGAGCGAGCGUUUUCCGGAAUUACUGGGUGUAAAGGGAGCGUAGGCGGGGAUGCAAGGUGGGUGUCAAAACUACCGGCUCAACUGGUAGUCGCACUCAAAACUGCAGCUCUUUAGUGAAGGAGAGGCCGGCGUACUUCCUCGUGUCGCGGUUAACUGCGUAGCUCUUAGGAG